UACAGAGGGGGCAAGCGUUAUUCGGAAUUAUUGGGCGUAAAGGGCGCGUAGGCGGCCUGGCAAGUGGAAGGUGAAAUCCCUCGGCUUAACCGAGGAACUGCCUCCCAAACUGCUUGGCUUGAGACCGGGAGAGGUGAGUGGAAUUCCCAGUGUAGCGGUGAAAUGCGUAGAUAUCUGGAGGAACACCGGUGGCGAAGGCGGCGUUCUGGACUGCAACUGACACUGAGAAACGAAAGCCAGGGGAGCAAACGGG
rnacentral:rRNA from 1 species